GAUAACGCUAGGGCAUAUCCGCCCGCCUCCAGCUGUUCCCGUGGCAACGUUCAGGAGCGUUGCCUCGACUUCCGAAGAGGCUGGAAGUGGCGGCCCAGUGGUUUCCUAGGUCGAGUAGUUCGCUGGGACUCGCUUCCAAGUGGACCCGGGAGAGGCGGUGGUGUAGAAGACCACCCUGAGCCUGGGCUUUCUCCCGCCAGGAGGGUGCGAGGGCCAUCUUUGACCUCUGUUAAGCGCCCUAAGGAGGUACCGACGGUUGUGACCGCAGUCUCUGACGUCUUCAGAUGUCAGUCCUACAAAGUCGGGGGUGGAGGUUUCCCUCCAGGCUGAUCGGACAUGCUCAACCGUUUAUUUACCUUUGAAUUUGGGGAGCAGAACUAGCCAGGGUGACACUAGUUUCUCCCAAUAA
ensembl:lncRNA novel transcript, antisense to ZNF446